CCUACGGGAGGCAGCAGUGGGGAAUAUUGGGCAAUGGGCGCAAGCCUGACCCAGCAACGCCGCGUGAAGGAAGAAGGCUUUCGGGUUGUAAACUUCUUUUGUCAGGGAAGAGUAGAAGACGGUACCUGACGAAUAAGCCACGGGUAACUACGUGCCAGCAGCCGCGGUAAUACGUAGGUGGCAAGCGUUGUCGGGUUUUACUGGGUGUAAAGGGCGUGUAGCCGGGUUGACAAGUCAGAUGUGAAAUCCUGCGGCUUAACCGGAGAACUGCAUUUGAAACUGUUGAUCUUGAGUACUGGAGAGGCAGGCGGAAUUCCUAGUGUAGCGGUGAAAUGCGUAGAUAUUAGGAGGAACACCAGUGGCGAAGGCGGUCUGCUGGACAGCAACUGACGGUGAGGCGCGAAAGCGUGGGGAGCAAACAGGAUUAGAUACCCUGGUAGUC
rnacentral:rRNA from 1 species